rnacentral:rRNA from 1 species
AGAGUUUGAUCCUGGCUCAGGAUGAACGCUGACAGAAUGCUUAACACAUGCAAGUCAACUUGAAUUUGGGUUUUUAACUUAGAUUUGGGUGGCGGACGGGUGAGUAACGCGUAAAGAACUUGCCUCACAGUUAGGGACAACAUUUGGAAACGAAUGCUAAUACCUGAUAUUAUGAUUUUAGGGCAUCCUAGAAUUAUGAAAGCUAUAUGCGCUGUGAGAGAGCUUUGCGUCCCAUUAGCUAGUUGGAGAGGUAACAGCUCACCAAGGCGAUGAUGGGUAGCCGGCCUGAGAGGGUGAACGGCCACAAGGGGACUGAGACACGGCCCUUACUCCUACGGGAGGCAGCAGUGGGGAAUAUUGGACAAUGGACCAAGAGUCUGAUCCAGCAAUUCUGUGUGCACGAUGAAGUUUUUCGGAAUGUAAAGUGCUUUCAGUUGGGAAGAAAAAAAUGACGGUACCAACAGAAGAAGUGACGGCUAAAUACGUGCCAGCAGCCGCGGUAAUACGUAUGUCACAAGCGUUAUCCGGAUUUAUUGGGCGUAAAGCGCGUCUAGGUGGUUAUGUAAGUCUGAUGUGAAAAUGCAGGGCUCAACUCUGUAUUGCGUUGGAAACUGUGUAACUAGAGUACUGGAGAGGUAAGCGGAACUACAAGUGUAGAGGUGAAAUUCGUAGAUAUUUGUAGGAAUGCCGAUGGGGAAGCCAGCUUACUGGACAGAUACUGACGCUGAAGCGCGAAAGCGUGGGUAGCAAACAGGAUUAGAUACCCUGGUAGUCCACGCCGUAAACGAUGAUUACUAGGUGUUGGGGGUCGAACCUCAGCGCCCAAGCAAACGCGAUAAGUAAUCCGCCUGGGGAGUACGUACGCAAGUAUGAAACUCAAAGGAAUUGACGGGGACCCGCACAAGCGGUGGAGCAUGUGGUUUAA